rnacentral:lncRNA from 1 species
UUUAAAUGAACAACUGUUUAGAUCGCUUCCUAAAGGCUAAACGUUGGUUUGUCUACUCUCGGCGGAGGCUUAAGCAUUGGUUUAUUAUGCGCGUUAGAAAGGAUUAAAUAGUGUUCUUUUGAAAAGAGUUUAGGUCACACGGAGGCGACAAGUGGGAUUAAUAUGUUAGAUGUUUUGAUUGGUUGAGAUGUUUUUGGUCAGAUGAAGAUCACUCGGAUAGUCGAG